rnacentral:rRNA from 1 species
AGGACGAACGCUGGCGGCGUGCUUAACACAUGCAAGUCGAGCGGAAAGGCCUUUCGGGGUACUCGAGCGGCGAACGGGUGAGUAACACGUGAGUAAUCUGCCCAUCGCUUCAGGAUAGCCAUCGGAAACGGUGAUUAAUACUGGAUAUGACAUUCCUUCGCAUGUUGGGUGUGGAAAGUUUUUUCGGCGGUGGAU